rnacentral:rRNA from 1 species
UACGUAGGGGGCAAGCGUUUGUCCGGAUUUAUUGGGCGUAAAGAGCGUGUAGGCGGCCAUACAGGUCAGCUGUGAAAACUCGAGGCUCAACCUCGAGACGUCGGUUGAAACCGUAUGGCUAGAGUCCGGAAGAGGAGAGUGGAAUUCCCGGUGUAGCGGUGAAAUGCGCAGAUAUCGGGAAGAACACCCGUGGCGAAGGCGGCUCUCUGGGACGGUACUGACGCUGAGACGCGAAAGCGUGGGGAGCGAACAGG